AACCUUAUGGACCUGCGGGCGUAUACCUGCGGAGGGAUCAUUAUAAAAAUAUGGUCAAACCAUUCUCCUGUGAUUUACGUAAUUGUGUAUACUUUGGCAGGCUUUGGGUCAUUUUCGAUCCAUCUUCUACGUUUGUGCUUACACACGCACGAAUGUCUGAAGCUGGCCUGCCAGAGGUUUUCAAUUAAACACACAUGUUUAAACUACAGUCUGAAAAUCUCUUUCGAGAGAAUAAAAACA
rnacentral:misc_RNA from 1 species